rnacentral:lncRNA from 1 species
GGCGGGCGCUCCUGCAGCCGAUCGGAGGUCUGUAGUUGAAGCGUGGCGGGACCCUAGAAGAGUAGGUUCUUCGAAGCCCCACGGCCGAUUCGGUGAUCAGAGAAGCAACACGCCAGCCCUCUUUGCAAAAUAAUGACCUGGCCAGACGUCCCCGAAUGCCCAGAAGACUCUGGUCUCCGCUACUUCUGCCUGCGGCCGUAUUGACGCCCCGCCCCCGUCUCUCAUUGGCCCCCCAGGGACACGUGGGGGAAGAGGGCGUGGACGCGCGGCGUGGGCAGGGCGCCGGCCUCAGGCGGUGAUGGGAGGCCGGCCGGACUCGGGUUUGGGGCCGCAAUGGAUACCCAGGCGCCGGGCCGGUGGCGACGGCGGAGGCCGGAGGAGCUGCAGGUUCCGGGGGACCCGACCUACAGGCUCGAUAAGCGCAGGAUCUGUCUUCCAAGUUAAUGCAGGCAUCGUCUUUCUCAAGUGUUUUGCACACCAUAAGGAGUGACUAGCUUUCUUCCCUGCAACAUCUGUUUCCUCACCACCCACUGCCUGACCACGGAGACAGUGUCACUUAUGUUCUGUCACAGCAGCACCCCACUUCCAGAGUUCAAAGAAGCUGGUGUCUUUUUCCUUUAUUAUCCACGUUCUUCUUGAGCACAGAGAGUGGAAAAAUGGGUUUCGAGAGGUGGCUGCGUGCCCCAGUUCGGCCGACAGCAGAGCCGGCCCGGCCUGUGCUUCCUGUGCAUUACAUCCUGGAAGUCACAGCACGGCAGCCACAGAGCUCUUCUUCCUUCCCAUCACAGCUGCAUAGUGCUGCAUUGCCUGGAUGCUCCGUCUUUAUCCAGCCACUGUCCUACAGAUGGGCAUUUGGGUUGUUUCCAAUAUUUUGCAGUUUAACCAAUGCUGCAGUAACAUAAAACCUCUAGGACAGUGGGUGAACAGAAAUGGACAGUGGGCAUCUUUGCCUUGUUCCUGAUCCUAGUGGAAAUGCUACUAGUCCUUCCCCAUUGAAUAAGACACUGGCUUUAGGAUUAAAUUUCUAUGAAGAUCCUGUUAUCUUUUCCUUUGGUUUGUUAAUAUGGUAAAUGACACUGGUGGAUAUCCUGAUACUGAAUCCAUCUUUCAUUUCUCGAAAACAUCCUACUUGGUCAUGGUUAUGCCAAGGGUGUGGUCUGAUGUGGAAUUUACUCUCCCUUUUGUGUACUCAUACCAUUUGGGAAGAACUGCAGGGAAGUAACUGAGCUACACGAUUGCCCGCGUCUUCAGCCGCUUGGAGAUCAAGCACUUCUCCCAGGAGACCGUUCUGCCUGGUUUAAGGGGCUCAGAGUUUGACAUUUUUCAUUUUAAUCUUUAAGUAUCUGUUUUAAGACAUGUUAGAGAACAGUAAAACUAGCAGUCUAAACCCAUGAUACAAAGUGUCUGCAUUGAAUAAAUCCAUUACAUUUUUAAAAAGUCAACUUAGAAAAUAUUAAAUAAAUAAUAGUACAGAUAAUAAACAAGUUUGGCGCAAAUAUGAUAGUUUGCAAGUGACUGAAGUUGUGGAGCCGCUGUUGUAACUGGAAGUGUUUCCCGCGUCGGGCGGGAGCUGUCCAGCUGCCGGGGCUGUGGGCUGACCAGGGAGCCAGAGGAGUGUGGCUGUGGGCAGAGGACGACUCCAUGGCCAUUUGCAAAGGUCGUCCCACCUCUCCAACCUCUGUGGCAGUGAAAACAUUGUUAUCCCGCAAAAUACACAAAGCCUUAGGACUUGGAGAGUGAAUAAUUUUUCCUUUAGCGUUAGAAGAUUGCUUUGGUGAUUUAUCUUCUUUAGUUCAUGGAAAAGCAGAAACCAAAUGCUAACUUUCCCAAAGGUUAUCUGUUAGGGACGUUGUGUGCAACUUUUGAAAUAAAUAACCUGAAUUUGCUCUUCAGUGUCACUAAGAGGAAGGAUUAUUCACAUGUGAAUUAUUCAUAUUGUAUUAAGAAAGUAUGUAACGUAACACUGGGCAACAUAUGUUGAAGCAUAUAACUAGCUUCUUGAACAAAAUUUAUGGGGUUUGUACAUUUUCAAUAUCAGUAAACCAGUCACAAUAGUUUAUUGCAGAAGUUUUGGCCAAAACUGUUAAAAUGACUAUUUAUAAAGCUAAGUAAAUAUCAGACAAUGCCAGAAAUAAUGAGGUUAAAUGUAAUUGAUGGUUGUUAUUCCUGAAAGAUGAAGUUUACAGUCCUCUCCUCAAACACCCUAUAAACUUUCCCAGCUCCACAGGGUCUGUAUUGGCAGCUGAAGUUUUCAGAAUUCAAUUCAAUUUGAGUGUUGUGUGCUUUAUGAGGCCAUCUCAGGGAAAUUUUCUUGUUGCAGAAACGGGCAUGCAGAAGACUAGAUGCAGCUGUGCAGGAGUGGGGCUGCGCCCAGGUGAGGGCCAGCACCCUGGGCUCCUGGAGUGUCGAGGAGCUGGAGUUGAAGCACAGAGGCUGCCCCCUUGCGGCAAGGCCAGAGAGCGACCAGGCGCGGCCCGACGCGGGGAUUCCUCAGAAUGGUGGAGGGAGCUUGGCCCAGCCUUGCCCGAGAUGUAUUGCGGGAGAAUCUGGACAUUUUAACCAUACUGAGAAUCGUUAGAAGAUACGAGUUGGGAAAGGAAGAUUCCGAUUCUGGUUUUGAACCUGGCCUGUGACAGCGAAUAUCGGUCUCAUGGAUGGAUGUGGGCACCACCUGUUCAAACAGCAGCCCGCCGUCCCCUCAGUCAGGUACCCGGCCAUCCGCACAGAGCCGGAGGGGCCCUCGCCGCGCGGGAGCCGGCACACCCUCAGUGCUCGCCGCUCCUGCCUUCAGACGGAUCUCGCUCUAGAAGGAGAUCAGCUGCAUUAUUUACAAGUUGAAAAGACUCAGUGUCGAGCUUCCUGUGAGGUUGAGGACCCCGUGGCCUCUGGAACCGUGUCCAGACACAGCCCUGCUUUUACACUGUUCAGUUGUUCCGUGGAGCAUCCAGGGCUGCUUCUCUACUCUCUUUAAUUAAAAGACUUAUUUUUAUAUUUAAAAUGCUUAUAAUCUUAAACUGAAUUUUACUAAAUGCUGGUAUCCUAUCUGUUCUGUGUAAUUCUCCAGCUGAAGUUAUCAGACAUGGGACCCCUUUUAUAUUAAAAUGGAGAUUUCUCAUUUUCUCUUGGGUUUCCAGUGUCUCGUCUGACUGGCGACUGGUGUCAUUUCCCUUGGUCUCAAGGCUUCCUGAGAUGUCCUGUGCACAGGAUAGACAAGGUCCCAGUGAAGCCUCUGGGUUGCUCUCAGGCUCUUUACCCUUCAAACCAGAGGCAGGCCGAAGGGCCUGUGCUCUGUGUUCACUGUGUCGUCCACGUGGCCAUGUUCUCUCCCUCAGCGUUGGCACUCUGCAGAGCCCAGGCCUUAAGCAAUCACGGUAUGUGGUUGUGGAGGGCAUUUCAUGUUGGAAAGGUGGAGGGACGGGACAGAACACAGGUGUGGCAAGGACACAAGUACAGUACCCUUAGUGCUCUGGGUUAUCCCGAAUCCAGGACACGCUGCCGUGUUGCGGGAAACACAGCUGAGUCCUGCCCCGGCGUCUUUGGGGGUCACUAAACACUUAACCCCGAGAAAGAUCACAGAACUGGGACUAGAGGAGGAAACGCCAGUCCUGUGGGAACAGCCAAGGCUGACAGAGGGAGAGAAGCGAUUGAGAUUUGUGGCCUUAAAAUGUAUGCUUUUAAAGAGCUUUAGUUUACUCCUCUCUUUUCAAAAUGAGAUGGACGUCUUAAGUUUUAUGGAAAAAAUGAAAAUUCUUAGAUUGACAACAUUUUCUUUUUGUGUGUCGGCUCUUCCUUCUCCCCCAGAUUCAUGGGGAGAGGAGAUGUCCACACGUUUGCAGCUAGGUAUUUGGUAAUUGAAGCAGCAUGCAAAUCGCUGUAGCUAUUUACGAGUCGAAAGCGGUUUUUUAGAGAAUAUGCACUAGGCAUCCUGCCUGCUGGGAAACACCCCUGCCUUAGAGUCGGACAGACUUGGGUUCAGCUCCCAUCUCCCCCACAGUGUCUAGCCGUGCGACCUUGACCAGUCCUUAGUGUCUGUGAGCCUCACUCUCCCCAUCUGUGAGAUGGGGUGAUGACCACGGGGCUUAUUGUUGGCAUGAAACACAGGAGCAGACACAAAGGGCUUGGUGACUACACAGUGUGCCCUCCCUUGCCCUCAUCGCACAGCCCCUCAAAAACCAAAGCAGGCAUUCUUUUCUGGAAAAGCAAAAGGACACAAAAGUUUACAACUGUGAAAAUGACAGAAGGAGAAGUGAAGUCAGCCAGAAUUUGGGGAACCAGCAGUUUAUCAUGAAUUCCUGCAACAUGGACAGGCUUGUCGCAGGGCACCUGGGUGCUGUGGCCUCAGCAUUGCCUCCACAUUUUCAGUCAGUUUAGUGCAGCUCAUAAAGUAGAAUGCACUGAGGUUCUAUGCUUCCGGAACCAUCUUCGUGCACACUCAGAGCCCAUCCUAGCCCAUCUGCCUGCCCCAGCAGAGACCCUCGGUGCAGCACAAGCCUGGCAGCCCAUCCUCCGGCCCACCCCACCCUUUGGCCUCCCCUGGCUCCAGAAUCGUCCCUAGUCACUAGGAUGGCCUCCACUCCCUGCCCAACCCUCCUCCUUUUGGGCCCUGCAGCCUGAUACAUGCGAGGGAAAUGAACAUUUUGGUUAAACUUUUUUGUUUUAAUUGACUUUUUUAUGAUGAUAAACAUAAUACCUGUUUAUUGUAAAAAAGUGUGGAAAAUAGAGAAAGGAAAAUAAAAACCGCUACCCCAGAUUGCCACCAUCGACCUGCUGGUACACUGCUCUCCAGGGGUGGGCUUCUCUUUUAUUUCUAACUAAAUGUUAUAUGGUGAACAUUCUCCCUAGGGAAACGUUGUUUUGAAAGGUGGCAGGAUAUUCCACGUUGGAACAGGGCAUCGUUGUGACAACUCUGACACCAAGUGUGCCUGUUUUGUUUGAAAAGUCUGUUUUAAAGUCUGUGAGAAGUGUGGCGAGCCUCUGUCUGUGCACAGUGAAGCCCAGGCCCAGAUGUUGGGGUGACCAGCAGGAGGUGCCACCGCUCAUCCUGCUGGUGUUACCUGGAAGGGUGCGGCCGGGGUUUGGCCUCCUCACGUGAGAACAUCUCUCCCUCCCUGCCAGAUCAAUUUGUCAGCACCACAGGUCCUGACGCAGAUUAGCUAACAGGCAAAUCCGCAUACAUUUCACCAAACGGUUUUGACACACCCAUGACGAGCAUGAAAUGUGAUUAUCCCUUUAAAGAGCUUCAUCUUUGUUUUCUUGUCAGAAGAGGAGAAAAAGACAUUUUCUUACACCCUGAGGAAACAGAUUAGGCAUUUAUAUGUGUAUAUUUCCAUUAGAUAAAUUUUCAAUUUAUUCUUUCAUGAUCUGUCAUUGUUUUCUGUGUAGGGACUAAAAUAUCAACACAUACCUUUUAUCAUUUCACAAAAUAAGUUUAUAGUGGUUUCUAAACCAACAAAUUAUAAAGGUCUCGUUUCAGAACAUUCAGAAGCAUGGUAAAUGGUUAACAGAGAUAUUAACAUCAUUUGCAAUGUUUUGCCUCCUUUUAAAAUAUAGUUUAUUUCCAGAUUUUUGUAACACAUUUAUAAGUUAUACUUCAAAUCCAUACUUUGAAAGACAAAUUUUAAAAUCAUAGAUAAGUAAAAAUGAAAUGUAAAUUUAAGUCAUCCAUAAUCC